AAAAGAUAGGCCAAAGUUAUGGUCCUGUUUACCUGAGGUGCUCACUGAGUUACCCGUAUUAAAAGCUCGUUAUCCUCACUUGAUUAAUAAUAGCUUCCAGGAACUGUCUUAGGAGAAAUUCAGAAUCUGAUUGUUAGUUCACUGGGAAAAAGUGCCACAGUCAAUUAAUAAUGUCUGCCUUGAGCAUGGGAAAAAAGUGGAAGUAACUUAUGUGCCAUAUAUUUGUAUGGAUUAUUUUUAUUGAUACUUAAAGGGGUUCUUUUACUUGAAAUUUUAUGAAGAGUACAAGGAUCACCUGGGAAUGUCUGAACCCCCUCUAUUGAAAGCGCACUAAUAUAUAACUAAUCAGACAAGAGACAAUAAAAAUAUACGCAGACCACGUGGAAAAUAAAAACCAAUUCUAGACAUUGGCAGUGGAUAAAUCUCAGACCUUGGCAGAUCCUAUGUGAAAAUCCCACAAUGGCAGUUCAUGGAACAGUAAGACCAUACUGGACGCUUGAGCGCAUGGUUGGCUAGGACCAUCCACCUACCAACUGACUUCUCUUGCACGUCAGUGAUCAUGACGUAAAUUUGGGCUUCUGAAAACUCAAAAUCUGCCUCAGGUUAUGAAACUUCAAGGUCACUCUCUGUGGUAGGUAGAACAACAUCUAAGAUGCUCACACCCUCAUCCCUGUGAACCGAUGAACAUGUAUGUUACAUGACAAAAACCACCCCCAACACUGCAGACUUUAAAGUUCUGAAACCUAAAGGUGGGAGUUUAUCUGGAUCAUCCAGGUAGGCGCAGUCUAACAUGGAGAAGCAAAAGAUCCAGUAUAUUCAACACAAUAUAGAAGAAGAAAAAAUUUGGAGGACUGGAAUAACCUGACUUCUACACUAUAAAGAUAUAAUAAUCAAGACAGUGUGGUAUUGGUGAAAGAACAGACAGAUAGACCAGUAGAACAUAAAUAGACUCACGUAAACGUAUUCAACUGAUCUUUGCCAAAGGAGCAAAGGCAAUACAAUGGAGCAGAGAGAGGUUUUCAAUCAGUGAUGCUGGGACAACUAAACAUGACCCUCAAUAUGCUGAUACCUUUUUGGAUCUAACACCAAAAGCAAGAUUCAUGAAAGAAAUACUUGAUAAACUGAGCUUAACUGAAAUUAAAACCGUUUCUGUGAAAGAUAACGUCAGGAGAAAGCGAAGACAAGCCACAGCUGGGAGAAAAACAUUUGCAAAACACACAUCUGAUGAAGGACUGUUAUCCCAGAAUGUACAAAGAACGGUUAAAACUUAGGAAGAAAACAACCUGAUCAAAAGAUAGACUGAAGAUCUCGACACCUCAUCAAAGAUAUACAGACGGCAAAAAGAAUAUGAAGAGAUACUCUGCCUCAUAGGUCAUCAGGGAAACGCAAAUGACAUCAACAAGGAGAUACCACUGCACAGCUCUUAGAACAGCCGAAAUCGGGAACCGACAACACCAAAUGCCAGCGAGGAUGCAGAGCAACAGGAACUCUCAUUCAUUGCUGGUGGGAAUGCAAGAUGGCACAGCCUCCUUGGACGACAACUUGGCUGUUUCCUACAAAACUAAACAUGCAUUCACCCACAGUUGUUUUUAAGUGUCAGCCUUCACCAGUUGUUUUUUCCAUAAGAUGAUCCCCGAGGCAGGAGGGUCUUUUUUUGCUUUCUGUCUCUCUGACUUUGCGCCAUGAUGGGGAAGGGAAGGGACUGUGAAUAUAAAAAACUCCCUUUAACUCCGCACUGCCCUCUCCUGCUGCUGUGGCUGUGAAGAGAACAGUUUCCUGGCUGGUAAGACACGAAAUGGCACCCAACACUGCAGAGAAGUCACUGCUUCUGUGACAAUCCCUCUGUCACAGCUCUCCUUCUCCGUCCUCUCCUGCUCCUGAUGCCCUGCUGGGCUGUUUGUAUUUAAUCCCAUGUACUUUCAAUGGCAGUCUGCCAUCGUGCCAGGAAACCAGGUUGUCUGAUUCUCCCUUCCCUGAGUUUAAUUAUUUAAUAGAUCGAGCAGGUUCAUUGUCUGCUACAGAAUUUCUCAUUGUCAGCACUAAUGGCACUGUUUGGGCUGAGUAAUUGUUUGCUGUGUAAUUUGUACAUGUGGGGGUGUGUCCUGGGCAUUGUGGGAGGUUUUGCAGCAUCCUUGACUGUUUGCUAGAUGUCAAUAGCAGUCCUGAGUUGUGACAAUUAAAAGUAUCCCAACAUUACCAAAUAUCCCCCCCUGGGGGACAAAAUCCCCCUCCCCCAAGGUGAGAACCAUUGGCCUGAGGUUAAGGUACCAGUCUGAUGGGCUUGUUUCACUCACCUGUGAGCCAUUCCCUCUUCAAGGGAGCCGCUUAGAGCAAAGCACAUUGCAGCCUAGGUCAAUUUCACGAUGAAGGCAAAAAUUUAUGCUUUUUAAACAGGAAGUCCUCCAUAUAGUCAGCAGACUGAGACCCGGCAAAGUCUCCUCUCCAGCUUUGAACAGCCUAAUUAAACCAGCAGAUUCAGCACAUUCUGUCAUUGGUAGCGAUCACUUCCAGCUCUUUCGCACUCCCAGCUGAAAAGAACGUGAGGAAACCCAUCCUUAUCCUGCCCACAGGUCUGAGUUCUGACAGGUGUGACAGGACAUCUUCUGGGCCACAGUUUCCCAAAGUAUGCUCCUCCCAUUUCAUUUUAGGUGGUGAAAUGUAAACCUUUACAUUUCAUUAGCAAUGUGUUCACCUUAAUAACACGUGUUGUGUGUCAGGGUGGGGGUCGGGGCACCACAAGGGCACCAAACUCACAGUGCAAGUCUUCUUUAGAAGACAUGUACGUACGUACAGAAAGUGAGCUGGUUUAAUGAGCGUAACAGGACGGAGUAUAUGCACAUGUGUACAGUUUCCUGCUGAUGCUGUAAGAAACUAUCACAAACUUAGUGACUAGAGACAACACAGAUUUACUACCUUGCAAUUCUGGAGGUUACAAGUCCGAAAUGGGUCUUGUGGGCUGAAGUCAAGUUACUGGCAGAGAUGUGUUCCUUCUGGAAGCUCUGGGCAGUCUCCUAGACUCUUCCAGCUUCCAGAGGCUGCUCACAUUUCCCGCCACGUGGCCCCUUCCUGCAUCAUUCUAACCUCUCCUUCUGGCACCGCAUCUCCUUUGACCUUCUUGUCUCUCUUUGUAGUGACAUUGGCUCUGUCCAGAGAGUCUCAGAUAAUCUUCCAAUCUCAAGAUCCUUAAUUUAAUCACAUCUGCAAAGUCCCUUUGGUGAGGUAACAUAUUCACAAGUUCCUAGGAUUGAGAUGAAGAUAAUUUUGUGAGGAGAAGCAUUAUUCAGCAUGUUACAGCAUAUAAAGAAAUGCAUAAAGAAAAAAGUUGUCAAGGUGAUACACAACUGAAUAAAUGAUGUUUAGGAAGUCUUAUUUUAGUCAUUUAUUACUGUGCAGCAAAUUGCUCCAAAACUUAGUGGCCAAAAGAGCACGCCCUUGUUAGCUCACAGUUGCUAUGGGUCAGGAGAGGGUAGCAGCCCAGCUGGGGUCUCCGUCUCAGGGUCUCUCUCUAGGCUGCACUCAAGGUGUCAGCUGAGCCACGUCCCGAGGUUCACCAGGGACCGAGCUCCUUUUCCAAGUUGACUUCUGGCCGUGGGUAGGAUUCAGUUCCCACAGUUGAACUGAGCUCUUGUUCCUUAUUGGCUGCUGGUGGAGGCUCCUCCCUGUCACGUGGUCCUCUCCGUGGGGCAGUGUGCAGCUGCUUCAUCAGGUGAUGGAGGGAAAGAGGGUGAGGGCGAGAGCAGGGUGGAGGCACCAUCUUGUAUAACCUAGUCCCGGGAGCAGCAUCCCCUCACUUUUGCCACAUUCUCUUCAUUAGAAGUGAGUCCCUAGGUCCAGCCUAUACUUAGGGGAAGGCAAUUACAGCAGGGCAUGGAGUGGUGGUGGUGUGUGUGUGGGGGGGUCAUUUCGAAAUCUGCCUCGGACACUCAUCUUAGUCGAUAAGUUUUCUGUUACCUGACAUGCAGUUCAGCCCUUUAGCAGAAACGUGUCUGCUCAAUAGAUCUGCUUUCCUCCAGGAUUCGGGGCGUCCCAACCCUCUGCUGCCAAUGUCCCACUGUGAAAACUAGUCUUCUUGCUUUCUCUUGGGGUCACUACCCCCGUCCUUGUGUGCCUACUCUGUUUUCAGAUGUCCUCUUUGUGUUCCUGCUAGAUUCUUAAAUUAUUAUUUUAAAAUUUUUAUGUAAGUUUAUUUUAAAAUUUGAGAAUAAUUUAACUUAAAAACACAUAUUAUUUUUACAUUUAUAUAAUGUUAUACAUUGUUUAGGAAACUUCAGGACAAGAAAAACAAAACAUAGAUAUAUUUGCUUUAAUUAAAUUAAACCCAGAUCUGAGCUCCUGCUCUUUAGAGUACUAGGAAAUUCAAUUCCAGAAAUUUUGAGAGCAGGAAUAGAGCUUUUCCACUUCCAGUUAAUGAAUCAGAUUAUUAAUUAUCUAUGUAUUUCUCCUUAUUUUGUUUUUCUCUCCUUCAACCUCCUGAACUCCCUUUCUUAACAGUUUUCAGGUUUCAUUCUGAUUAAUCAAGGGUUUUUUAAGAAAUGCUGGUUUUACAACUGGUUAAUUUAUAUUCCGAUUUGUGUGGAAUCUAAAGUAGUCAGAGGAGCCUGGCUCUUUUAUGAAACCAGAUGGUGAAAAGGACUGGAGGAUGUUCCUUACAAAGUGUAAGGGUCAGUUAAUUUCUCUCUGUGUGUAUUAUGAUGCACUGGAGAUAACCCUUAUGAAUUUAAUUUGGUGACCUUUUGCAGCUGUCAGGCCUCAAUAAUUUCUACCUGUUUUGAUAUUCCCCCAAACUGCUGAGGACAUUACAACAUAAAAGGAGCUGGUGAAUAUGCAUAAAUCUAUGGGGAUCUUGAGCAGUAGUUUAUGUGGGCGGAGGGGUACAGAAGAAAGGU
rnacentral:lncRNA from 1 species